UACAGAGGUCCCAAGCGUUGUUCGGAUUCACUGGGCGUAAAGGGUGCGCAGGUGGGUUUGCAAGUUCGAUGUGAAAGCCCCGGGCUCAACCUGGGAAUGGCAAUGGAAACUGGCGGGCUGGAGUAUGGCAGAGGGGGUGGAAUUCCGGCGUGUAGCAGUGAAAUGCGUAGAGAUGCGGAGGAACACCGAUGGCGAAGGCAGCCCCCUGGGCCAAUACUGACGCUCAGGCACGAAAGCGUGGGGAGCAAACAGG
rnacentral:rRNA from 1 species